ensembl:lncRNA
GUCAAAAAUGACACGUGGCAUCACUGCAAGGCAGUCAUACUUCUGCUGCUGCAGCUGCUCGCGCUUCUGCAGCAUCAAAUCCCACUGGGAAAUAACAAACUUGGGAGAUGAAUUCAUCUCCAGUGAUCAUCAUUGUUGCUCUUUAAUUCUUGCAGGUGUGCUUCACCAUAGAUCCCAUGGGUGCAGGAGUGUAAAUGCAGGAGGAACAGAAGUGUUGCUAUUGCUGUAACCAGACUGAGAAGUUAAAGAAAGAUUGCAUUUGAAACACAGAGUGUUGCGUGUUACUGGAGGGAGUUGGUAAUUAAGCCUGGGGCAAAGUGGUAAUGGAUCAGCCCAGAACUGUCAUCUGUAACUAUGGCUUGCCUCUGAUGAUGGAACGGUUUUCUGUCAACCCACAGAAAUCAAAGUGGGAAAAAUGAAUAAAAACUUCAACGAUUCAUUUGGCCCAAGUCAAACAGCAACUGGUGUGGUGCAAAAUAUUAACAAGGGAGAAAGCAUACUAUGUCAAAAUAUAGUUUAAAAGAGAAAGAAAACAAAACUUAAAAAAAAAAAUAAAGCCUCAAAUAAAUAAUUAAUUAAAAAUAUUGAAAUUAGCUCUGUACCUAGAAGCUAAAGUUAUCACGGCAUGCAAUAUUAAGAAAGUGUAAACUAUAAAUGUAGGUAAAUUAUGGAUGAAUUCUAAAUUGUGGAUAUGAAUAUCACAAAUGAAGAGACUUUGGCAAUUUCAUCUUUUACUAAUCAAAAGUUGUUUAAGUGUCCCUAAAGGCUCAGUCAAAUCCAGACGCACACAAAUGCACACACUCAAACACACUUACAGGCAAUUUCGUACGGUAGACUAAAUUGGUAUAAACCAGAAACUUUGCAUUCUGAAGCAUUAAAGACUUUCUUUGCCUUAUCGGCAGAUCUAUUUUCAGUAUGCUGGCUGUGCACUCUUCAACUCUUCACUGUAAGUAAAAAUAGCUUGCUGGGACUUGUUGGUCCUUUUUGUAGACAGUGCUGUUGAAAAAAAAAGAAGAAAUUAUUGCCUAAAACACUAACGCAAAAUGACCAGGUUAUUUAACU